AAACUGUGUUGUGGGCACGAACUACAAGGUCCUUGAAACACUCCCAUCAUUGGAAGAAUGUUUCAUCCUCCUUUUGGGCAAAGUUCAUGAUUGGCUUUCUAAGGGU